rnacentral:rRNA from 1 species
AUUGAACGCUGGCGGCAUGCUUUACACAUGCAAGUCGAACGGUAACAGGCCGCAAGGUGCUGACGAGUGGCGAACGGGUGAGUAAUGCAUCGGAACGUGCCCAGUCGUGGGGGAUAACGCAGCGAAAGCUGCGCUAAUACCGCAUACGAUCUAUGGAUGAAAGCGGGGGACCGUAAGGCCUCGCGCGAUUGGAGCGGCCGGUGUCAGAUUAGGUAGUUGGUGGGGUAAAGGCUCACCAAGCCAACGAUCUGUAGCUGGUCUGAGAGGACGACCAGCCCAACUGGGACUGAGACACGGCGCAGACUCCUACGGGAGGCAGCAGUGGGGAAUUUUGGACAAUGGGCGCAAGCCUGAUCAGCAAUGCCGCGUGCAGGAAGAAGGCCUUCGGGUUGUAAACUGCUUUUGUACGGAACGAAACGGUCCUGGUUAAUACCUGGGGCUAAUGACGGUACCGUAAGAAUAAGCACCGGCUAACUACGUGCCAGCCGCCGCUGUAAAAC